UGGCCGCGUGGCCCAAUGGCAAGGCGUCUGACUACGAUUCAACGUAUAUCAGGAGAUCGUGGGUUCGAGCCCCAUCGUGGUCAAACUUUUUU
rnacentral:tRNA from 1 species